AUGAACGCUAGCGACAGGCCUAACACAUGCAAGUCGAGGGGCAGCACAAGGAGCAAUCUGAGGUGGCGACCGGCGCACGGGUGAGUAACACGUAUGCAACCUGCCUGUAAGCGGGGAAUAACCCGUUGAAAGACGGACUAAUACCGCAUAAUACUAAAUUACUGCAUGGUAAUUUAUUUAAACAUUUAUGGCUUACAGAUGGGCAUGCGCAUGAUUAGCUAGUUGGAGAGGUAACGGCUCCCCAAGGCAACGAUCAUUAGGGGUUCUGAGAGGAAGGUCCCCCACACUGGUACUGAGACACGGACCAGACUCCUACGGGAGGCAGCAGUGAGGAAUAUUGGUCAAUGGACGAGAGUCUGAACCAGCCAAGUCGCGUGCAGGAAAAAUGUCCUAAUGGAUUGUAAACUGCUUUUGCAGGGGAAUAAAGUGCAUCACGUGUGAUGUUUUGUAUGUACUCUGCGAAUAAGGAUCGGCUAACUCCGUGCCAGCCGCAGC
rnacentral:rRNA from 1 species